AUGUACCACUCACUCGUACACUGCGGUUCCUCCGCGCCGUCCGCACCCACCUGACGACUGCUCGCUACGUUUUGUUAGCC
rfam:Xanthomonas fragariae strain PD5205 genome assembly, chromosome: 1